rnacentral:rRNA from 1 species
GACGUAGGUGGCGAACGUUAUCCGGAAUUAUUGGGCGUAAAGGGUGCGUAGGCGGCAUGAUAAGUUAUUGGCGGCAAAUCGAGGCUCAACCUCGUGGAAACUGAUAAUACUGUCUUGCUUGAGUGCAGAAGAGGUUAACGGAACUCCAUGUGGAGCGGUAAAAUGUGUAGAUAUAUGGAAGAACAUCAAAUAACGGCGAAGGCAGUUAACUAUUCUGUUACUGACGUUGAGGCACGAAAGCGUGGGGAGCAAAAAGG